rnacentral:ncRNA from 1 species
AUUAUUGCUUGGAAGAGGAGUAGUAGAAGCGAACGCAUUUCAGAGAGCGCACGGGGCUGAGAGUGUGCAUGCGGACAUUCGAACUUACCUUGGAGCAUGAUCGAUUGAUCCGGCUAGAGACCGUUAGCUCUUUAGAGGUCUGUCAUCGACAGAUAAAAAUAGGUGGUACCACGUUGAUAACGUCCUAUGA